GACAGAGGGUGCAAACGUUGUUCGGAAUUACUGGGCGUAAAGGCGCGUGUAGGCUGCUUGGCAAGUCGGAUGUGAAAGCCCUGGGCUCAACCCAUGGAAGUGCAUUCGAAACUGCCGAGCUGGAGUCCGUGGAGAGGAAGGCGGAAUUCUCGGUGUAGAGGUGAAAUUCGUAGAUAUCGAGAGGAACACCGGUGGCGAAGGCGGCCUUCUGGACAGUGACUGACGCUGAGGAGCGAAAGCGUGGGGAGCGAACAGG
rnacentral:rRNA from 1 species